ACCCGCACAAGCGGUGGAUGAUGUGGAUUAAUUCGAUGCACGCGAAAACUUACCUACCCUUGACAUGUCUGGAACCUUGCUGAGAGGCGAGGGUGCCUUCGGGAGCCGGAACACAGGUGCUGCAUGGCUGUCGUCAGCUCGUGUCGUGAGGUGUUGGGUUAAGUCCCGCAACGAGCGCAACCCUUGUCAUUAGUUGCCAUCAUUUGGGUUGGGCACUCUAAUGAGACUGGCCGGUGAACCAAACCGGGAAGGAAGGGUGGGGAUGACGUCAAGUCCUCAUGGCCCUUAUGGGUAGGGCUUCACACGUCAUACAAUGGUCGGUACAGAGGGUUGCCAACCCGCGAGGGGGAGCUAAUCCCACAAAGCCGAUCGUAGUCCGGAUCGCAGUCUGCAACUCGACUGCGUGAAGUCGGAAUCGCUAGUAAUCGUGGAUCAGCAUGUCACGGUGAAUACGUUCCCGGGUCUU
rnacentral:rRNA from 1 species